AUGAGUCAAGGCCAGAUCCGCCGUUGCUGGUGCCGUCCUCCCCCGCCGCCAUCGCACCACUUCCAUGUCGCCGCCGAUCUGCGCCACCGCCGCCGAUCUGGCCAGAGAGGAGCGCCGCCUCCCAACCAGAUCGAGAUCCGAGGAGAAACAUGCCGCCGCCGCCAUGACACAAGGGCUUUGCCCUGUGACGCCCCGGGCGACGGCGGCGGAGGGGAGCGGAGGAGGGGCGAGGCUAUAGGAGGAGGGCGAGGGCUCUCCGGUGCGGGGCGGCGCCGCCGCACAGGGGAGGGACGGGAGGGGCGUGAUGUAAGUGGGCAGCGAUGUUGUGAGUACCCAUCAUCCCUGCCACUUUCACGUGCGGCAGGACUUGCGCCUUCCAGACCAGGAAAUUCUCCCGUGAAGUUUACCUAUGGCCAUCUCGCGCAGCUCAAGUACAUUAUGCCCGAGGCUAUUGUCAUCAACAAGAUCCUUUUGCGCGACGACAAGACUUGCUGCAUGAAGCCGGAUCUUCAGGUGAACCUAUUGGUUGAUUCAGUUGAGGACAGUGCGAUGCAGAAGGGGGAAACCCGCAGGCUUGUCGACUUCUUCAGGAAACAUCCUGAGGGAGAUGACAUCCCGGAGCAUGAGCUGCCGCAUCCAUUUACUCAAACAAAUUCAAGUGUGGCUCAGAGCACACCAAGAGUUGUUGCUGAAGUUGUAUUUGCCGCGCCAUCACCAAGCCUGGCUCAACAGCCGGCUGUUGCACUGUCGCACAUGUCCCAGUCUUUCAAGAGAAGGUUCUCACAGAGAUCUUCAACCUGCCCUGCAACUGCCAGCACAACCGGUCUGCCGCCGAAGGCUGAGUCUACUGCUCCAUCUCCACUGGGCAGGAAGUUGAUGCUCAGUUCUACUUCUGGUGGCACAGAUCAUGAGUCCCAAGUGCAAGAGAAAAGUAGCAAGGAUGUUGCACCCAGGUUUGGUGUUACAGAAGGGACUCCUGCCAAGUUCGCCUCUACACCAGUGAGAUCAAUGGCAGCCACACCGAAUCUUGAGACCCCAGAGAGGCCAAUAUCUGCUACCGUGUGUGACACGCCGCCUCUAAACACGGCCAAGCGAUCAGCUAGAGCCAAGUUGUUUAUGACACCUACAAAGGAUGCAAGCAGAAUGGAAGAAGAGAACCAAAGCAUGAGCACAUCUCCAAGCGACAGCGAUGAGUUGCUUGGUUUCCUUCCAAAGUCCCUAUUGCAAUCGGUAAGUAAAGGAGAAGGAGAAGAGAACUUUGGAGGAGAAGGAAACAGGCUAUGCAGACACCAGGUUCAGCGGCAAAAGCUCAUAUCAUGUCUGCCAAGCACCUUUGACAUUAUCUUCCUUAUCUACCAGUCGAGGCAGCGAACUGUACUGACAAAGCAGGAGCUCAUCCACAAGAUAAUCGAAAGUAACCCGAAGAUCGUGGACAAGGGUGAAGUUGAAGAGCAAGUGAGACUGCUGCUAGAGUUUGUUCCAGAGUGGAUCUCUGAGAAGACUGCAAGAAAUGGAGAUAUUCUUUGCUGCGUCAAUACCGCACUGAGCCAGUCUGAGGUUCGACAAAGGUUGUCCGGUGUCAAGUAG
rnacentral:rRNA from 1 species